rnacentral:rRNA from 1 species
GACGAACGCUGGCGGCGUGCCUAACACAUGCAAGUCGAGCGGAGGAUUCAAGAUGUUUACGUCGAAGAUCCUUAGCGGCGCACGGGUGAGGAACGCGUGGAUAAUCUGCCUUAGAGUGGGGGAUAACUAGUCGAAAGAUUAGCUAAUACCGCAUAAGACCACAGGAGCUGCGGCUCAAGGGGUCAAAGGUUUUUCGCUCUAAGAUGAGUCCGCGUAAGAUUAGCUAGUUGGUGAGGUAACGGCUCACCAAGGCGACGAUCUUUAACUGGUCUGAGGGAUGAUCAGUCACACUGGAACUGAGACACGGUCCAGACUCCUACGGGAGGCAGCAGUAGGGAAUAUUGCACAAUGGAGGAAACUCUGAUGCAGCGACGCCGCGUGAGUGAUGAAGGCCUUCGGGUCGUAAAGCUCUGUCGCAGGGGAAUAACACAAUGAAGGUACCCUGUAAGAAAGGAUCGGCUAACUUCGUGCCAGCCGCCGCUGUAAUAC